GACUUAGCCGAGGGCAACUGGAGAAGGGUUGUUGAUGGCAAAACAGGCAAUAAUACUAAAUUAUUAUCAUGUACACAAGCAAAUAAGCAUAGUUAUGAUGUUUAAGGUGUGAAAUACUGUCAUAAUAUGGUUUGUGGUCACUCAAAUCCUUGCCGUCGUGCAAUUCCCCGUGCAGUUUGUAUUGAUAGCUCCGCGUCCUGACACGUAAAGCUCGUGCUUUGUUGGCAGCAGAAGUUGGCACUUAACAGGUUUAUCCUUGCUCCUAAGCAUGUAUGCAGUACAUCUGAGUUGAUAUGCUACUUGUAACCCUACAAUUAGCUUGUGUUUGGUAUUGUUUCCUCACAAUAUGCUUACAGUCAUGGUCCCGGCUUGAAAGGAUGUGGCGUCCGACUUAAACAUAGGAUUGUUGUAGCAAGUGUCCCCUUCAUCAUUUACCUUAGAGGGAUCUUUUUGCCAAAAUUUGGCAUUUCAGCAACCAGUUUUGUUUUUUAUUUGGUACAUGCUUCUCUCAUUCAGUGAUUUAAGGGAAGUAUUGACCUUAUUCGCUUGUCUUUGCAUACAAAGGUGACAUGGAUCAAUGAUAUUUGUUGUGUUGAGAAUUCUGCGGGAAGCUGUGUCCCCAAAAGAAGUACCAGAAACCCCUUCCAGGAAGCUUGCAUUGAUCUGAACUGCCUUUCUGCCCCUGUUACAACAUGAAACCUCAUUUCUAAGCUUAUAAUGCUUUCCUACAUGUGUGUGUCUUGUUCAUUUUAACCUUUCCUUCCAUUCUAAACCCCAAAAAUGAGCAUUUUUGUCUUUGGCUCGGUUAUGAAGCGCCAUUUUGACCAGAUUGCCACCAUCAAAAUAGUCAAAAGUACUUAUUUUGUGCCCAAAAUAUGAAAUUUUGUAUUCUCUUCAACCUCUUAAUGAGAGCUGGCAGUGAAUAUUGACCAUCUUCUUCAGUUUAAAGGCACCCAUGACAUUAUAUGCUAGAAUAUAUAAUUGGCAGCUGGUAAACAAAUUGGCUCCGAGCAACAAGGCGCUUUCAAGAUUUUACACUUUUAUUGGUGCGAAACAACAAGUUAUUGGAAGCUUAUGGAUUUCUACACUUCAAAGUAUCUUUGAUCUUUCAUUUUCACCAAUUUGCUUAUCGUCUGUGAUGAAAUUGGAUUUUUUUUGCUUUGAAAUUUACAUUUUUGGGGUGAUUUAAAAAAAAAAGAACAAAAAAGGCAUUAUCAAAAUUGCUUUGAGUGAAAAUAUCUAACAAAUUCAUUCUUUCCCCACCCCGCAUAAGCCCCACGUGCCUGUCCAUUUGGUUUGUUUUGGUAUUUUGUUGCAUAUAUUGAACACAACAACUUUAAAUCUUAAAGGGACAUUUAAGCUUUAACAGGCCUAAAAUUGCCUUCUUCGGACCAAAAACACCCGCGUGUGAAAAUAUGAUAUAAAAUGGCCAAAUGGACAGAUAAUCCAGCCAAACCUAAUAUUUUGCUGCAAUAUGCAUAGGAAGAUAAUAAUAUGCAAGAAAAACACAUUUUAAUCAGAAUAAAUUUCUCCUUUAGGUUACAAUAUACUAAAAUAUUUUGGAGUGCAAUGCUAUACUCUCUAAAAACAUGAACAUCAUUUAUAAGAAGACACAAUUCUCUGUAGGGGCACUUGCCAUGGCUUUAUUUUAGAAUGUUUCUUUGUGCAUGUGGUAGGGAAAACAUUGAUGUUUAACAGAAAUGCACUCUUUUGCUUGAAGGUUGGAGACUACAUGAGACUUUGACAGAUGGCGGGAAACCCUUCUCAACUGGUACGAAGCCGGCAAAUAGAUGGCCAUAAAACAGUGACCGCUGAUUCGCGUCGAGUUCUUUCUUGCAUAACGUUGGAGACUACAUGAGACUUUGACAGAUGGCGGGAAACCCUUCUCAACUGGUACGAAGCCGGCAAAUAGAUGGCCAUAAAACAGUGACCGCUGAUUCGCGUCGAGUUCUUUCUUGCAUAACGUUGGAGACUACAUGAGACUUUGACAGAUGGCGGGAAACCCUUCUCAACUGGUACGAAGCCGGCAAAUAGAUGGCCAUAAAACAGUGACCGCUGAUUCGCGUCGAGUUCUUUCUUGCAUAACGUUGGAGACUACAUGAGACUUUGACAGAUGGCGGGAAACCCUUCUCAACUGGUACGAAGCCGGCAAAUAGAUGGCCAUAAAACAGUGACCGCUGAUUCGCGUCGAGUUCUUUCUUGCAUAACGUUGGAGACUACAUGAGACUUUGACAGAUGGCGGGAAACCCUUCUCAACUGGUACGAAGCCGGCAAAUAGAUGGCCAUAAAACAGUGACCGCUGAUUCGCGUCGAGUUCUUUCUUGCAUAACGUAUGACCCCCCUUUUUUAUUGUUUAAAUCAUUGCGGCUUGGAAUGCUCUUUAAGAAAAGGUAUGGUUAUGGGGAUGUCUAUGCGCAAAAGUUUGACUUUAUUUUUUGUUAAAGUUAUUGCUUUCACAUUGAAUUU